AAGUAUUUUUCUGCCCAAUGAUUAAUUUUAAAUGGCUGCAGUAUUUUGACUGUGCAAAGGUAGCAUAAUAAUUAGUCUUUUAAUUGAGGACUGGAAUGAAUGGAUAUAUGAAAAAUAUAUUUUAUUAUUUAUAACCUUAAAAUUUUAUUAUUAGGUAAAAAAGCUUAAGUGUUUUUUAGGGACGAAAAGACCCUAUAGAACUUGAUUAAAUAUUUUUAAAUUAAUAUAAUUAUAGUUAUUUAAUUUAUUUUUAAAUUGUUUAUUUUGAUUGGGGGGAUAGUUAAAUUUUUUAACUUUAUUUUUUUAUUUCAUUAUAUCUAUGUUAUUAUUGAUCCAUUUUUUAUGAUUAAAAGAUAAAGUUACCUUAGGGAUAACAGCGUAAUUUUAAUGGGAAGAUCAUAUUUAUAUUAAAGUUUGCGACCUCGAUGUUGAAUUAAGAUUAGUACAGGGGGUAGGUUUUCUGUUAGUUAAGUCUGU
rnacentral:rRNA from 1 species